rnacentral:tRNA from 1 species
GUCGAUAUGUCCGAGUGGUUAAGGAGAUUGACUCGAAAUCAAUUGGGCUCUGCCCGCGCAGGUUCGAAUCCUGCUGUCGACG